rnacentral:rRNA from 1 species
AUUGAACGCUGGCGGCAGGCCUAACACAUGCAAGUCGAGCGGCAGCGGAAAAGUAGCUUGCUACUUUUGCCGGCGAGCGGCGGACGGGUGAGUAAUGCCUGGGGAUCUGCCCAGUCGAGGGGGAUAACUACUGGAAACGGUAGCUAAUACCGCAUACGCCCUACGGGGGAAAGCAGGGGACCUUCGGGCCUUGCGCGAUUGGAUGAACCCAGGUGGGAUUAGCUAGUUGGUGAGGUAAUGGCACACCAAGGCGACGAUCCCUAGCUGGUGUGAGAGGAUGAUCAGCCACACUGGAACUGAGACACGGUCCAGACUCCUACGGGAGGCAGCAGUGGGGAAUAUUGCACAAUGGGGGAAACCCUGAUGCAGCCAUGCCGCGUGUGUGAAGAAGGCCUUCGGGUUGUAAAGCACUUUCAGCGAGGAGGAAAGGUUGGUAGCUAAUAACUGCCAGCUGUGACGUUACUCGCAGAAGAAGCACCGGCUAACUCCGUGCCAGCCGCCGCCGUAA